AGCGAUAAUGUCCAGCGGCGAGAGGGAAAGAACCCAGAGCCACAGCUAAGGCCCCGAAGUGGCCGCUGAGUAUAGCGAAGGAUGUGUUCGUGCCGUGACAACCAGGAGGUUGGCUUAGAAGCAGCCAUUCCUUUAAAGAGUGCGUAAUAGCUCACUGGUCCAGCGUGAAUGCGCCGAGAAUGGUCGGGAUUAAGCGGCCCGCCGAAGCUUGGCCUUGAUACUUUGGUAUCAGGGGUAGGGGAGCGUUCCCGUCACAGUGAAGCCCCGGUGGAAACCGUGGGGUGGAGUAGCGGGAAGUGAGGAUGCCGGAAUGAGUACGCGCAAAUCCAAGUGAAAACCUUGGACACCGUAAACCCAAGGGUUCCUGCGCCAUGGCAAUCAGCGCAGGGUGAGGCGGACCCUAAGGCGAGGCCCCAAAGGCGUAGCCGAUGGACAGCCGGUUGACAUUCCGGCCCCGUCUUGCAGUGUCGAAACCAUCAGGGACACCGAAACGACGCGUAUGCGGUUGUGUGGAUUGACCGUCUAAGCCUGUAGGCGCAAGCCGAGAGGUGAUGGCAAGGUGCGGCUUCGGCCAAGCCGAGAUACGUAGAGUCUGCGGGCAAGAAAAGCUGGUGGUGGAGCUGCACGACGUCCGUACCGGAAACCGACACAGGUGGGUGAGGCGAGUAGCCUCAGGUGAACGAGUGAAACGUGGUCAAGGAACUCGGCAUAAUGAUCCCGUAACUUCGGAAGAAGGGAUGCCUCCCGCUGUUGCUCACCUCGCGUGAGUUGCGGUGGAAGGCCGCAGAGAAUCGGCCCAAGCGACUGUUUAGCAAAAACACAGGUGCGUGCCAAGCCGCAUAAGGCGCCGUAUACGCACUGACGCCUGCCCGGUGCCGGAAGGUUAAGGGGAGAGGUUAGCGGUCUUCGGACUGCGACGCUUUGAGCCGAAGCCCCGGUAAACGGCGGCCGUAACUAUAACGGUCCUAAGGUAGCGAAAUUCCUUGUCGGGUAAGUUCCGACCUGCACGAAUGGCGUAACGACUUGGGCACUGUCUCGACCACGUGCUCGGCGAAAUUGCAGUCUCGGUGAGGAUUCCGAGUCCCCGCGACAGGACAAAAAGACCCCAUGCACCUUUACUGCAGCUUGUCAUUGGACAUUGCACUUCGCUGUGUAGCAUAGGUGGGAGCCGUCGAGCCCCGGGCGCUAGCUCGGGGGGAGGCACCAGUGAAAUACCACCCUGCGUAGUGCGAUGCCCUCACCACGGAGAGCACACCUCUUCUGGGACCGUGGCAGGCGGGCAGUUUGACUGGGGCGGUCGCCUCCGAAAGCGUAACGGAGGCGCGCGCAAGGUUGGCUCAGCGCGGUCGGUACUCGCGCUUCUAGAGUGUAACGGCAGAAGCCAGCCUGACGGUGAGACCGACGGGUCGAACCGCCACGAAAGUGGGCCGUAGUGAUCCGGUAGCCCGGGGUGGAGCGGCUAUCGCGCAACGGAUAAAAGGUACGCUGGGGAUAACAGGCUUAUCGCGCCCGAGAGUUCACAUCGACGGCGCGGUUUGGCACCUCGAUGUCGGCUUAUCACAUCCUGGGGCUGGAGAAGGUCCCAAGGGUCCGGCUGUUCGCCGGUUAAAGUGGUACAUGAGCUGGGUUCAGAACGUCGUGAGACAGUUCGGUCUGUAUCCGUCGUGGGCGGUGGAGUGUUGAGGGGAGCGGACCCUAGUACGAGAGGACCGGGUCGGACAAUCCGCUCGUGUCCCGGCUGUCCUGCCAAGGGCACCGCCGGGUAGCGAUGAUUGGCUGUGAUAACCGCUGAAUGCAUCUAAGUGGGAAGCACGCCCCAAGAUGAACACUCCCAGGGCCUUGAGCCCUCUGAAGGGCCGGGGGAGACCACCCCGUCGAUAGGCCGCCCGUGGACGUGCCGCAAGGCACUCCGAGCGCAGCGGUCCUAAUCGCCCGUGCGGCUUGACUACUCCCAUU
rnacentral:rRNA from 1 species